GUGGGGAAUAUUGGACAAUGGGCGAAAGCCUGAUCCAGCCAUGCCGCGUGUGUGAAGAAGGUCUUCGGAUUGUAAAGCACUUUAAGUUGAGAGGAAGGGCAGUAAGCUAAUACCUUGCUGUUUUGACGUUACCGACAGAAUAAGCACCGGCUAACUUCGUGCCAGCAGCCGCGGUAAUACGAAGGGUGCAAGCGUUAAUCGGAAUUACUGGGCGUAAAGCGCGCGUAGGUGGUUUUGUAAGUUGAAGGUGAAGUCCCCGGGCUCAACCUGGGAACUGCCUCCAAAACUGCAUGACUAGAGUACGGUAGAGGGUAGUGGAAUUUCCUGUGUAGCGGUGAAAUGCGUAGAUAUAGGAAGGAACACCAGUGGCGAAGGCGACUACCUGGACUGAUACUGACACUGAGGUGCGAAAGCGUGGGGAGCAAACAGGAUUAGAUACCCCGGUAGUCC
rnacentral:rRNA from 1 species